UACGUAGGGUGCAAGCGUUGUCCGGAAUCAUUGGGCGUAAAGAGCGUGUAGGCGGCCACUUAAGUCCUGCGUGAAAUCUUGCGGCUCAACCGCAAGCGGUCGUGGGAAACUGGGUGGCUAGAGUGCGGGAGAGGAGAGUGGAAUUCCUGGUGUAGCGGUGGAAUGCGCAGAUAUCAGGAAGAACACCCGUGGCGAAGGCGGGUCUCUGGGCAACAACUGACGCUGAGGAGCGAAAGCGUGGGGAGCGAACAGG
rnacentral:rRNA from 1 species